rnacentral:rRNA from 1 species
GUGUCAGCAGCCGCGGUAAUACGGAGGGUGCGAGCGUUGUCCGGAAUCACUGGGCGUAAAGGGCGCGUAGGCGGCAGGCCAAGCGUGCGGUGAAAGCCCGGGGCUCAACCCCGGGUCGGCCGUGCGGACUGGCGUGCUCGAGCACUGUAGGGGCGGGUGGAAUUCCGGGUGUAGCGGUGGAAUGCGUAGAGAUCCGGAAGAACACCGGUGGCGAAGGCGGCCCGCUGGGCAGGAAGAGAGCGUAAGCUCUCGGCUGACGCUGAGGCGCGACAGCGUGGGGAGCAAACAGGAUUAGAAACCCUGGUAGUCC